UUAGACAUGAACACCCACACCCGCGGCGCCGGCCAAACCCUAGCUUUCUGCUCUCCCGAGGGGCGUCUGGCCCCUGAUUCAUUUAGGAUCUCCCAUGGAGAUCGCAUCGCGGGUGUGGUUGUUCCGGUUAUAGGCUUCGCUGCAGCCGCUCUGUGGCCGGAGAUUGAGGCGGCCCUUCGCGGAGAUGGCCACUGCGAACCCCUUCGAGCUCCUCGGCAGUAGCGAAGCUUCCCACAAGAAUUUUACCCCACCUUGUUCAAUCCGUGAGGGAGGCGAGAAAUGCUGCACCAUCACGCGGUGGUGCUGGCCGUGGCGAAACAAGGGAUGGAAGAGGUGGUCGAAGUGGCGGGACGUGCCCAAAUCGUUACUUUGGAAAUGGCAACGCCAAUGGGAUCUCUAAGGGAUAUGGUGGUGGUGGUGGCGAUAGGCUUCUGGAGAGGGAACGCCCGCCGUGUCAGCCAUUUGGUGGUGGCCACGUGGUAGAUAUGGGGGCAGUGGUGGCAGUGGGAUUGAGCACUCUGGAGGUGACUCUGAACGGUCCUCACGUAGGUUGUAUGAGUGGCGCAGUGGCACAGGCUGAGGUUAUGAGACUAAACGCCAUGGGGCAGGACUUGGUAACUGUGGCACAGUUAAGAUUUCCUCUUCGUUUGUGAUUCAUGAUAUACUCGGAAGAAUUUUGGUGAAGGUAUGUUUGCAGUUGCCAUCACUGAUCUUGUUACGUUUGUGGAACUGUAUUAGAAGACAGUGAGAAGGAUGAUGUUUCUAAUGCCGAUAAGACUCUUGCAACCGAAAAGCAGCUAGAACACGAAAAAACCACCAACAGAUAUGAGCAAGGACAAUAAGUAGGGUAUGCCUCCUGAGACAGAAGAAAAGGAGGAUAAGUUAGCUUCAUUCUUUACAUACAUUAUUGUGAUAUAAUGCUCUAACGAUUGCAUGGCUCAAAAACAACCUUUUAUAAUUUAUUGAGUACAAGUUUUUUCAAAGAACAAAAUGUUCAUUUCAAUCAGUUACUUCUUCAUGGUUGUUUGUUGUGUUAUAUAGUACACUGUAACAUGGGAAAUUUAUCAUAAACUUUGAUUGAUGAGUUUUGGUGCAAUUUUGCAGGAGUUGGGAUAUAUUAGAACGAACAUUUAUUCUGCCUAGUUUCCUACUCAUUCAAAUGUUUCUUUAGUAUGUGUGGCAUCUCUUUACCAACAGGAUCCAUGUAUAUAUAGACACAUAAUGUUUCUUUUUCCUUCUUUUGCUAAUUUGAACGUAGUGGUUCAUUUACCACCAUACUGAGGUUGCAAAUUGUUAUUGUUGUUUCUCCUAGUUUUUGUCUGUAUACAGCAACUACCAUAAUGUCUAGCUUCUCAAAAUUCAUCUUAACAUUGAGCUCUCUGUAAGUGACCAUCAGUAGUCACACCAAGAGCAAACAAAUAUUUUUUUUAUCUGCAGUAAAAUUUCUCUGGUCUCCCUCAAUCUCUCCUCAUGUUACUAAUCUCAGUCAACUCAUCUUAUUUAUUGAGACAACUAAGAUCUCCUUUGGAUUGUUUGUUCAAUUUGAAAUCUUCUUUCUCAUAUUAUGGUGGGUUUUAUUAAAGAAAGGUAUAUCCAUAAAUUAUAUUGAUAUUAAAUAUAUAUAUGAUAAUGUAAUUAUUAGUGUUAGAACUAUAGGAAGUGUGUCUAUUGAAUUUUCUAUUAGCAUAGUAUUGCAUCAAUGAUUCGCAUAAAGUCUCUAUCUUUUCACAUUGAUAAUGGAUGAACUUAUUGGUCACUUAUAUGAUAGAGCUCCCUGGUGUAUGUUAUUUGUUGAUGAUAUUGUCUUAGUUGAUGAGAGCCUAAGUGGAAUUAAUUAUAUAUGUGAGCUAUGGAAACAACCAUUAGAAACUAAAGAUUUUAGAUUUAAUAGAACCAAAGCUGAAUAUAUGAGAUGUGAUUUUAGUAAUCUUAAAAUUAGACAGAAUAAUAUAGAUAAGUUGGAUGAACAAUAAGUUCCUUUAAGUAAAACCCUUAGGUGUAUGUUAUUUGUUGAUGAUAUUGUCUUAGUUGAUGAGAGCCUAAAUGGAAUUAAUUUUAUAUGUAAGCUAUGGAGACAACCAUUAGAAACUAAAGAUUUUAGAUUUAAUAGGACCAAAGAUGAAUAUAUGAGAUGUAAUUUUAGUAAUCUUAAAAUUAGACAGAAUAAUAUAGAUAAGUUGGAUGAAUAAUAAGUUCCUUUAAGUAAAACCCUUAGGUAUCUUGGAUCAAUUAUUCAACAAGAUGGAGAGACUGAUGAAGAUAUUAUUUAUAAAGUAAAAACAUGAUGAUUAAAAUGGCAAGGGAUAUUAGGAGUCUUAUCUGAUUAUCAUAGACCUUUGAGAUUAAAGGAAAAUUUUAUAAAAUCGUUGUAAGACCAAUAAUAUUUUAUGGAUCUGAGUGUUGGGUAGUUACGAAAUAACAUAUACAAAAAAUUUGUACUGCCGAAAUGAGAACGUUAAGAUAGAUGUGUUGAGUUAUUAGGAAAGAUAGAAAAAAAAAUAUUAUUAUUUGUGAACAACUAAGUAACACAAUAGAGGACAAUCAUUUAAGAUAAUAUAUACAUGUGUUUAGGAGACUUCCAAAUAUGAUAGUCAGAAGAGGUAAAAUGAUUAAUGUUAAUGAUACGAAAGAAAUAGAGGAAGACUUAAAGACUUUAAUAGAAACUAUAAAUAAAGAUUUAAAUACUCUGAACUUAACUAAACAUAUGAUUUUUUACAGAUCUCAAUGAUAAUAAAAGAUACAUGUAGUCGACCUCAAAUAAUUGGGCUUACGGUCUUGUUGUUAUUGUUGUAUGCUUUGUUGUGACUAAAAGUAAUAAUUGAUGAAUUUGAGCACUUCUUAUUCCACUUUUUGCUUCAAUUUAUUUCAGUUAUAUUUUUUUAUGUUUUUGAUUGCUCAAAUAAUAUGUUUGGAUAACUGAUCAUCUUUCUGUAGUUGUAGUUUCCAGGUUGAAGUCUUUGUGCUGUAAUAUAAUGCUUUUGUACAUCUAUGUUGUAAUUUGGCUUGAUAUUAAUUGUUUAUUUCUUUCCUUCAAGUUUUCCAUUGUUUAAGCUAAGUAGCUAAUAGUUAUAGUUGCAUGGUAACUGGAAUAGAAACUGUUUAAUAUUUAAUUCUUCGAAAACUUGCUCUUGUGCUAUGCUUACUAGAAAAUGAACGAAGUAUAAUGAAUGUAACUUCGAAUGGCACAUAUACACAUUAAACUGUCUAUUAAUGUAUUACCCUUUUAGAAUGUUGUUAUUUGCACACUUUUGCAUGUAUGCCAGUUUCGUGACUUUGACAAAUAACUUCUCCAUGCCUUGGUUUAGUUCAUUUUGUUUAUUUCAUGACAUAAAAGAUUGAAAUAGGAUUUGUUUAACAUGAAAAGAAAAUAUUAAGGGGUAUUUGGCAAUUCAAUGCAGGACUUUUAUUAAGUACAGAAGGUUUUAUGUAUUAAUUACACUAAAGGUUUAUUAUCUAGUUGUUUUAGCUAGUUGACUGAAAAAUCAACAUCUAGGGGUGACAAGUGAACUUAUUUGUAGAGCAUCCGCCCGAACAUGACAUUUUGAGUAGUAAAUAAUGCACCUCAGGUUAUCUGAAGAAAUCUUUUCAAGGUAUCCUUGAUGUCUGUUCUUCUCUGGUUUGGCUUGUACUACUGUUUGAUGUUGUGGUAAUGCACCUCAGUACUACUGCUUGGUGUGUACAUUGUGUCUAUCUAUUUUGCUUCUGCCACCUGGGAAACGAUGAUAUAGUGUAUGUGUAUUAUUUGACUCGUUCAACGUGAUCCCGAAGGGGAUGACUAUGGAAGAGUACGAGAAGAUAAGGGAGGAGAAAAGAAAGUCUUUGCUUGCAAUAAAAGUCAGAAAGGAAGGUUGAAAUUGACAAAGAUUUGCGGUCUAUGCAGUAACCUUCAACCAAGAAAGGAAAGCCAUGCUGUGUUCGUAUAUGCUAUGUUUUGUUUGUCGUAUUGCUACUAAGGUACAUUACUAAUUUUAUGAAUUUUUUUUUUUGCAAAGGAUAAAUCUUGAUCCUAUAUCAUAGGAUGAUUUGAUAAAGUUUUUAUUAAUCAAACUAGCUAGCAUGUUCA